AAACACCACGUAAACAGCAGGUACAUAGAAGACUAUGGUAAACGAGACUGGAACAAGAAUGGAAAGGUGAUGAAUUCUGUAUAUUCCUAGGCCGAAAGAUUGAACCAAUCCCCUAAAUGACACCCUUUUCUUCUUUAUAUAACGAGACACACCUUUCCUGCCCCGCAGUCCCUGCAUUGGACUCGUUUCUUCUUUCAUCUGCCCAGGAGGUAUUUAAUUUGUGCUGCUAUGUGCCAGGCACUGUGCUGGGGACCGGAGAAACAAAGAUAAGCAGUGUGUGGCCCUCUCGGCGUCUGCAGGGCCACCUUGGCGAGCCACCGCUAGUCUAUGACAAUUGGAUCACCUUGUCCUUCACGGCAGGUGUGUGCACUAACGGGGCAGCAGCGAACGGAAGACAAGGUCUCUUAUCAGCCUGGAGCUUUCAGCAUACAAGACUGUUUGGAUGAAACUAGAAAAUAUCAUCCUGAGUGAGGUAACCCAGUCUCAGAAGGACAAACAUGAUGCCAAGUACCAACUGCCCUUCAGACGGAAACACGGACGGCUGAGUUUGUCUAGGCUGACAGGAGAUGCCCUGCUUUGAAGAUGACCUUUGAUCAAGUGACCUAGCCUACUGGGUGACAUCACAUGCUCCUGAUGUUGUUGAGAAUAUCACUUUCCUUCAUUACUGACUGUGAUAAUCUACUUCAUUAAAAAAAUCAAGCUACGGAGCGCGGCUUACUGCUAAGGCUCAGUGCUCAGCAGUAGAAGAAGACAGAGGAUGCUUGUCUCUACUCUUAACACCCAACAAGCCGGCCUAGUUUUUUACAGCUGGAUGUAUCUAAAAGGACUUUGUAAAGGAACUGUAGUUUUAAAACUUUCCUUAUUUCUAAUUUUGCAGUGCUGGAGAUUCCAUCCAGAGCCUUAAACAGACAAUGUGAGUACUUGACCACCGAGCCCCAGCCCUAAGACACUUCUCAUACAAAAGAGAAAAGGCAGUUUAAUUUAGAUACCGAUGAGAAGUAUAUAGAAAGCAAAGGCAUUUAAGAUGUGUUUAGAUUCUAACAAUAGAAUGAAAACUAAAACAAAAAGCUAAGAAAUUAAGUGUAGAUAUCACCAGAACAGCUCAGCUAUGCAAAGAAGUUAUUUAAAUAAUAAAGUUAAUUUCCAUCCAACAGGAACUGGCUAGAAAGGACAUAAUUAUUACUAGUCUUCAAUGUAAGUUUCUAUUAUUAAAGUUGAUCAUUAUAUAUUA